UACGUAGGGGGCAAGCGUUGUCCGGAUUUAUUGGGCGUAAAGAGCGUGUAGGCGGCCUGACAAGUCUGCUGUGAAAACUCAAGGCUCAACCUCGAGAUGUCGGCGGAAACUGUCUGGCUAGAGUCCGGAAGAGGAGAGUGGAAUUCCUGGUGUAGCGGUGAAAUGCGCAGAUAUCAGGAAGAACACCUAUGGCGAAGGCAGCUCUCUGGGACGGUACUGACGCUGAGACGCGAAAGCGUGGGGAGCGAACAGG
rnacentral:rRNA from 1 species